GGACUUCAUAAAGAGUAGUGACUCUUCUCAGCGACAGUGGCUGGGGGCCAGCUGGGCAGAGCAGCCUCCUCUCCGGGGCACCCAAAGGGGCAAGGACGCAGACUCAGAGGAGCCAGCUUCUUACCCCUUGGCGCUCUCCCCCAGCCCCAUGAGCCUGCUCCCAGCACUCGCUUUCCCAUGACUCCCCCUUCGGCCACCCCAGGAAAGGACUCAGACUGGGGCUUACCUGCCGCUGCAGUGAGCAGCUGUGAGGACCCACCGGCGGUCAAUGAGGACACCCCCACAGCGCAGCCAGAAAACUUUGAGAUUAAAAUCUACAAUUCAGUGACUUCCACCACAUUGGCCGUUUCACAAUGUUGUUCAACCACCACCGCUAAUUCCAGAACCUUCUCAGUCCCUUCAGAUGAAACUCUGUGCCCGUUAAAUGGCUGUCUGUCAACUGAUGAUAAAUAAAAUGUAGUACAUCCAUCCAGUGGAAUAUCAUUCAGCCGUAAAAGAGAAUGAAGUUCCGUCUGACACAGGCUACAACGGGGAUGAGAAUUGAAAACAAGAUGCUGAGUGACAGAAGCCAGACACAAAGGGCCACAUGCUGUAUGACUCCAUGUAUACGAAAUGUCCGGAGUAGGCAAAUUCACAGAGGCAGAAAGUAGCUGGAGUGAAGCCCCCAAAGGGGCAGGACUGGCCUGCAGCCCCGCCCCUCCUGCUUUGGGAGAAAGCUCUGAGAACCCCUCGCUAGUGCCCCCAGAUGUCCCCAGCCCCUGCGCCUCCUGUCUCACCUCCCGGGCACCAUCGAAAGUGUCUUCUCUGGACAGAGCUCAGCCACCCAACACACAGGGUGAGGGCCCAGAACAUGGAGACUCUCAGAGAUAGGGAAACUGAGGCAUGGCUUAAUGACGUCAUUUACCCAAAGUGGAAGAGCCAGAGGCUGAACCAUGCAGGCGGCUGCCCCCAAAGCCUAUAUCUUCAUCAUUAUCCAAAUAUAUGAAUGAACAAAUGAAUGACUAACUGAAUACAAAAGUACACAUGAAUGGAUGAAUGGAUGAAUGCUUCUACAGGUUUGAAAGAGAGGAUAGCAUUUGGAACCCUUUAGACCUGGACUGGAACCGUACCUCAUCCCAUGAUUCACUGGGGGCCAUCAGGCUACUCUCGUUUCCUGACCUCUGUUUGCUCAUCUGAAAAAUGGGACUAGGAAGCUAAAUGUCUGCACCUUGCUUCCACUCGGGAGGUCAAACAAGGUGACCGAAGGUGGAUAGAAAUAUUGGGUAGCUAAGGGUACACACCAUCAAGAUGGCUCUGAUCAGUUUGUUUCUGUACAAAGAAGGAAUUUGCAAAGCUGACUUGGAUGACAGAAUCUUUUCUUUCUCAGAUGUGAAGAAAUAGCAGUGACAGUUUGUUACUGUUCUUUGUUCUGUCUCGGUCUUUACAUUCCUCCUCCAGGCCCGACCCCCCAUCUCUGCAAUGGGCUUCCCCACCUGAGGAAAGUCCUGCUCACCUGUCGUGGUCGCCCUGUAGAUGCGUGAUGGACCCCCCCAUCCCAAAUUUUGUUUGGAUGCAGAGACUAAUGAUGCCCCCAUCUACCAAGCGAGUGUAAAAGGCGUGUUACUCACAGAAGGAGGGUUCCGGGGGAGAGCAGAGCGGCUGCCCAAGCUGGUCCAAAAAUGG